rnacentral:tRNA from 1 species
GCGCGGUUGGCGUAGUGGUUUAACGCGUACACUUCAAAACCUGUGCUGAGGGAUCUGGCUCCGAGGACGCACCACACAAUUUGUGUGGAGCAGAAGCGGCGUGGCGACCCGCAGUACUAACCAAAAAGUGUAAGACCCCGGGUUCGAAUCCCGGACCGCGCA